rnacentral:rRNA from 1 species
UAGUCCACGCCGUAAACGAUGGAUACUAGGUGUCCGGGAAGUUAACCUCCUGGGUACUACAGCUAACGCGUUAAGUAUCCCGCCUGGGGAGUACGGUCGCAAGGCUAAAACUCAAAGGAAUUGACGGGGGCCCGCACAAGCGGUGGAGUAUGUGGUUUAAUUCGAAGCAACGCGCAGAACCUUACCUACCCUUAACAUUUCACGCUCGCCUCAGAGAUGAGGUUUUCUCUUCGGAGACGUGAGGAUAGGUGCUGCAUGGCUGUCGUCAGCUCGUGUCGUAAGAUGUCUGGUUAAGUCCAAUAACGAGCGCAACCCUUGUCUUUAGUUGCCAUCAUUAAGUUGGGCACUUUAAAGAGACUGCCGGUGUCAAACCGGAGGAAGGUGGGGAUGACGUCAAGUCCUCAUGGCCUUUAUGAUCAGGGCUACACACGUACUACAAUGGCCGGUACAGUGGGCAGCGACAGGGCGACCUGUAGCGAAUCUCUUAAAGCCGGUCUCAGUCCGGAUUGGAGUCUGCAACUCGACU